GCUGGAGUGGCGCAAUUGGUAGCGCAACGCACUUGUAAUGCGUAGGUUGUGGGUUCAAGUCCCAUCUCCAGCUCAA
rnacentral:tRNA from 22 species